rnacentral:tRNA from 1 species
GGGGUUGUAGCUCAAUGGAAGAGCGCCCGGCCGUUAACCGGACGACGAAGGUUCGAUUCCUUCCUACCCCGCCA